ensembl:lncRNA
UAUUUUUUCAACCCGGACGGGUACAGGAGGAACGGGCAAGCGGCUCCGCGGAGCAACACUGCCCCCUGCAGACCACAGAAACCAAAAUGCCAGCAAGCCCGGAAGAAAAUCGAUCCUUCCUGCUCGGUUUCCAGCAGAGGACUUAAUGGGGGAUGCCCUUGCGGACCAGACAAAGAAAGGGAACAUCUCGAAGGGGCCUGGGCCAACCACCCCUGAACCGCGCGAGUUCCGCUCGACCCACCCACAGAACCACAGCGAGGCGGGCAAGAAGUCAGGACGUCCAGGAAGAUCCGGAGUUGCUGAGGGCUGGUUCUGGGCCUGCCCUGGGGAGCACUGAGGUCAGUGCCAGUUUCGCAGCCUGCCUAUGCUGGGAGAUUUCUCCCCGAAACUGCUUAGAACUCUCCACUGCGGGACCUGAUUCGUGAUGUUCGGGUCCUGUCCAACCUGGCCCCCACAAGAUGGUUAUUUUGGGUCACUACCCUGCCCUCUUCUCUAUCGACUCUGGAUUAAAGUCCCUUCCUGAUUCACCUCGCAGUGAGCUGAGCAACUUGUACUCCUUAACAGCUGAUUACUUCCAGUCCGUUGGUCGUGUCCGACUCUUUGCGACCCCAUGGACUGCAUGCAGCACGUCAGGAGGUUUCCCUGUCCUUCAC